AUAUUAAUAAGCGGAGGAAAAGAAACUAACAAGGAUUCCCCUAGUAACUGCGAGUGAAGCGGGAAGAGCUCAACUUGAAAAUCUGCUUGUCAAACGGCAAGCCGAAUUGUAGUCUAGAGAUGUAAUGUCAGCGAGUGACCCGGGUAUAAAUCUUUUGGAACAAGGUAUCAUAGAGGGUGAGAAUCCCGUCUUUGACUCGGAGUUCGCCGCGUACGACUUGCAUUCAAAGAGUCGGUUUGCUUGGGAAUGCAAACCAAAAUGGGUGGUAAAUUUCAUCUAAAGCUAAAUAUCAGCGAGAGACCGAUAGCGAACAAGUACCGUGAGGGAAAGAUGAAAAGAACUUUGAAAAGAGAGUUAAAAAGUACUUGAAAUUGUUAAGAGGGAAGCGAUGGCAACCAGUAGUUGUAGAGUGUAAUAUUUACCGUAGUAUAUUUGAUCGAGAAGUUGGAAUGAGUUCCGAAUGGUCUCCAUUCUGCUUUUAAUACGAAUAGAUAUCUGCGAGUGUAGUUAUAUUUAUACAGGUCAGCAUCAGUUAGCUUUUUUUUUAAGUGUGGGAGAAAGGAAUAAGAAAGGUAGGAUUGAUCUGUCAUGGAUUAAUCUGUUUAUAGUCUUAUUUCUCUACCAUACUGCUGACUGAGGAUAAGGAAAU
rnacentral:rRNA from 1 species